ACGAAGGGUGCAAGCGUUAAUCGGAAUUACUGGGCGUAAAGGGUGCGUAGGCGGUUCGUUAAGUCUGUCGUGAAAUCCCCGGGCUCAACCUGGGAAUGGCGAUGGAUACUGCCAUGCUUGAGUACUGGAGAGGAGAUUGGAAUUUACGGUGUAGCAGUGAAAUGCGUAGAUAUCGUAAGGAGGACCAGUGGCGAAGGCGAAUCUCUGGACAGUUACUGACACUGAGGCACGAAGGCCAGGGGAGCAAACGGGA
rnacentral:rRNA from 1 species